rnacentral:rRNA from 1 species
UGAAUACGAGAUGCUACGGCGUCGAAGCAGUCUAUGUCAUACUUCCAAGAAAAGCUUGCACUGUCAUAAACAAAUAAUGCCUGUACCAUAACCGACACAGGUGGGUAGGUAGAGUAUACUAAGGGGCGCGAGAUAACUCUCUCUAAGGAACUCGGCAAAAUGACUCCGUAACUUCGGGAGAAGGAGUGCCUUAUUUUAUAAGGUUGCAAUAACAAGAUCCAAGCAACUGUUUACCAAAAACACAGGUCUCCGCUAAGUCGUAAGACGAUGAAUGGGGGCUGACGCCUGCCCAGUGCCAGAAGGUUAAAGAGUUGGUUAGCAUCCGCGAAGCUGAUAACUGAAGCCCUGGUGAACGGCGGCCGUAACAAUAACGGUCCUAAGGUAGCGAAAUUCCUUGUCGGGUAAGUUCCGACCCGCACGAAAGGCGUAAUGAUUUGGAUACUGUCUCAGAGAGGGGCUCGGUGAAAUAGACUUGUCUGUGAAGAUGCGGACUACCUGCACCAGGACAGAAAGACCCUAUGAAGCUUCACUGUAACUUGAAAUUGAAAUUGGACUUUACUUGCGCAGUAUAGGUGGGAGGCGUUGAAAAUAUUCUUGCGGGAAUGUUGGAGCCAUCAGUGAGAUACCACUCUUGUAAUGUUAGAUUUCUAACUUUGUAUCAUUAUCUGGUCAAAGGACAGUUUCAGGCGGGCAGUUUGACUGGGGCGGUCGCCUCCCAAACGGUAACGGAGGCGCACAAAGGUUUCCUCUAAACGGGUAGAAAUCGUAUCUAGAGUGUAAAGGCAUAAGGAAGCUUGACUGUGAGACCUACAAGUCGAGCAGGGACGAAAGUCGGUCUUAGUGAUCUGACGGUGCUGAGUGGAAAGGCCGUCACUCAACGGAUAAAAGUUACUCUAAGGAUAACAGGCUGAUCUCCCCCAAGAGUUCAUAUCGACGGGGAGGUUUGGCACCUCGAUGUCGGCUCAUCGCAUCCUGGGGCGGUAGUACGUCCCAAGGGUUGGGCUGUUCGCCCAUGAAAGCGGUGCGCGAGCUGGGUUCAGAACGUCGUGAGACAGUUCGGUCCAUAUCCGGUGUAGGCGUUAGAAUAUUGAGAGGAGCCUUCUUUAGUACGAGAGGACCGAGAAGGACAUACCUCUGGUGUACCAGUUAUCGUGCUAACGGUAAACGCUGGGUAGCUAUGUAUGGAGUGGAUAACCGCUGAAAGCAUCUAAGUGGGAAGCCCACCUCAAGAUAAG